rnacentral:snRNA from 1 species
CCUCAAGUUAACCUAGUCUCAGA